rnacentral:rRNA from 1 species
UACGGAGGGUGGAAGCGUUAUCCGGAAUUACUGGGUUUAAAGGGUGCGUAGGCGGCUUCAUAAGUCAGGAGUGAAAGCCUAUCGCUUAACGAUAGAAUUGCCUUUGAUACUGUAAAGCUUGAAAGGGGUUGAGGUCAGCAGAAUGUGGCAUGUAGCGGUGAAAUGCAUAGAUAUGCCAUAGAACACCGAUUGCGAAGGCAGCUGGCUGGGCCUACUUUGACGCUGAGGCACGAAAGCGUGGGGAGCGAACAGG